UCUGUGUGUGUAAUCAUCGAUAUAUCCUAAUAGAAGAAUGGACGGACCACGAGGCAGAGAGGAAAACGAUGGAACGUAACAAAGACUACGGUAUUUGUAUUUAACACAAGGUGGCGACCUCACGUAUUGUCAGUGGAAUGCAAAGACAGGAAGUGAUGUCAGGUAGAGACAGGAAAUUAUGUCAGGUACAGACAGGAAGUGAUGCAAGAGCAUAUAUAGGAAGUUCCGAGUGAGAAGUAAGUCAGGAAGUAGAGAGGAGACGUUGCUGGAAGUGGCAGUAGAGGAGUCAUUUAUCCAACGUGAGCAGUAUUUAGAAGGACGCAAGGAUCUCUACAAGGACGUCAUGAUGGAGAAUCAGCCGCCCCUCACAUCACCGGAUGGAUCCAGUAAUGGGAACCCAACAG